rnacentral:tRNA from 1 species
UAUAUAUAUAUAUAUAUAAAAAGCGUAUACGAGAGAGUAUGAGAGUGAAGAUAUCAAAGAGAAAAAU